rnacentral:rRNA from 1 species
GACGAACCGUGCGAACGUUAUUCGGAAUCACUGGGCUUAAAGCGCGUGUAGGCGGGCCGGCACGUCGGUGCCUGAAAGCCCCCGGCUCAACCGGGGAAGCGGGGCCGAUACGACCGGCCUGGAGGGGCGUAGGGGGACCUGGAACUUCCGGUGGAGCGGUGAAAUGCGUUGAGAUCGGAAGGAACGCCCGUGGCGAAAGCGAGGUCCUGGACGCCUGCUGACGCUGAGACGCGAAAGCCAGGGGAGCGAACGGG